UACGGGGGGGCAAGCGUUGUUCGGAAUUACUGGGCGUAAAGGGCGCGUAGGCGGCCAGCACAAGUCAGUUGUGAAAUCUCCGAGCUUAACUCGGAAAGGUCAACUGAUACUGUGCGGCUAGAGUGCGGAAGGGGCAACUGGAAUUCUUGGUGUAGCGGUGAAAUGCGUAGAUAUCAAGAGGAACACCUGCGGCGAAGGCGGGUUGCUGGGCCGACACUGACGCUGAGGCGCGAAAGCCAGGGGAGCGAACGGGG
rnacentral:rRNA from 1 species